CACGUAGUUAGCCGGUGCUUUUCUGCAGGUACCGUCACUUUCGCUUCUUCCCUACUAAAAGAGGUUUACAACCCGAAGGCCGUCGUCCCUCACGCGGCGUUGCUGCAUCAGGCUUGCGCCCAUUGUGCAAUAUUCCCCACUGCUGCCUCCCGUAGGAGUCUGGGCCGUGUCUCAGUCCCAGUGUGGCCGGUCACCCUCUCAGGCCGGCUACCCGUCGUCGCCUUGGUGAGCCAUUACCUCACCAACAAGCUGAUAGGCCGCGAGUCCAUCCUUGACCGAAAUUCUUUCCACCCCCAGGAGAUGCCUCCGAAGGUCGUAUCCGGUAUUAGACGUCGUUUCCAACGCUUAUCCCAGAGUCAAGGGCAGGUUACUCACGUGUUACUCACCCGUUCGCCACUGAUCCACAGAGCAAGCUCUGCUUCACCGUUCGACUUGCAUGUGUUAAGCACGCCGCCAGCGUUCGUCCUGAGCCAGGAUCAAACUCU
rnacentral:rRNA from 1 species